rnacentral:lncRNA from 1 species
AUCGGAGCUCUAUCAGUGAAGCUUACACCGGAAGAGAUGGCGGAGCUCGAAUCGAUUGCUUCUGCAGACAAUGUCAAGGGUGGCAGGUACGAUGGAAACCUCUCUACAUGGGAAAACUCCGACACUCCACCCCUUUCUUCUUGGAAACCUGCCUAGAAACAUGUCUACUUCUUUUGCUGCGUCUUUGAUAUGCAGAGUUUGUGCAUUUGCCGCUGAAGUAAUUUGAGGCUAUGUUGUGUGGCUUUUAUAAGUAUGUGUAAUAAGAGUGACUGUUUUCGUUUUGUACAACAUGUGACAUUCACUAUGAGAAGAUUAUGGAUAUGUACUAAGCUUACUGGGGAAAGAUCACUCGAUAAACACAAGAGCGAGUUGAAUAUGAACUGAGCCUGCCAUGCCGACUUUAUCGGGGUGACUUUUAGAAUCUGAGAAAUCGGGAUUUUGAAGAAUUCAAACUCAGUCGUACAUACUAAGUGACGCUUUAUUCUCCUCCAACCAUGAGUUCAAUACUAACACCGUGUGCAACAUACUCUUAAGACUGGAUGCUACACAUAGAUACAAUGCUUCGCUUUGUGUUUGGUUUGGUAGCGAAGUAAAGGAACAGUAAAAUGUUACCGGAUGUUCUCGCAAAAACAAAGUUUGGGAUAAAAUGCUGGCGUAGUUGAUAUGAGUGUCGGGGAAAUCAAAGGUUUCUUGUUCAAGUUUCACCACCUACGGUGCAUGAGCUUUUAUGUAGCUCGAUACCUUUGCUCAUGCCUCUGCAUUAUUAUAAAACAGUCGGAGAUAUUGCGCAAGUUUCCUAAAAUUAAAAACGACACUUCUAUUGUUUUUUAUUUGGAAUUAGAGUGGAGCAAUGUUGUUUUGUUUUGGUUUAGGAAAAUAACGCAAAUAGUCAUUAAACUUUGGUCCAAUGUGUUAUGUUCUUACUGAACUUUUAAUUUAUUUAGUAUGGUUGUCGAACUUUUUGUACAUGUUUAAUUUAGAUCCUAGGCUAGAUAAAUCUAAUGACGCUGUGUUUGGUCGUUCGAACAUCUUUGCUAUAUGGGAUAAUGAUAGGAUAAAAAUCCCAUCUAAUAUUUCUUGACGUCCGGAUAUAACAUGAUUCAAAUAAAACAAAUUUAAAUGAGUGUUUGAUUUGUAUAAUUAAAAUUAAAAGUAAACCAUGGAAGUCGUGAAUAGUAUUCAUCCUUUCACAAUCUUCAUCGAUAUUAAACACCCCCGUUCCAUGUGACUUCAAGGACGCUCUCCUUCUGCAACGCCCCUUUCGCUGCCCUUGAUCAACUUGAUGGAUUACGCUCGCUCUACCUUUGACUUCGCCACAUUGAGAGGCCCUUGGGUUUGAGUUCUCCGCUGGUCUAGCCAUCUUUACUUUCAACGCCUUUUCCUGCGAUGAAUCCAUCCCCUUCGAUGAGUGUGAAUACUGCGUUGAUUCCCUGUUACCGUGUCCCGACUUGUUCAGUCACUUCAACAGCUUCCCCGAGACAGCGUGCGGAUCCGGUUUAUGAGUGGUAGCAGCAUCGGUACAACUCGCUCCAAGUGACGUGGUUGAGGAGCUCUAUCACCUUGGCUGCUGCCUCUUUCGGAUCAUCUUCUUCACAGAGGAGGUGUCCAGCUUUGAUCGGGAUCACAAAGUUCCCAACUAAAAUGGAGUUAAGUGACAUAAGAAAGAGGCAGGGCUGACGAGCUCCGGCGCCACUUUUCCGAGGCAGCCAAAGGUGGUAAGCAGCUUGUCACUGGUAGGAGGAACGGUGGCCCUUAGAGUUUGCUCAGGUCGUUGUGGCGAGGGCUUCUCUAGGUAUCUUCGUGAUACUCAUGCUUUAAGUUUGUGGUGGUCAUUUUAGCGAGAAAAAUCGGAACGAGAGAGAGAUGAUGGUGGCACUGGUAAAAAAUGAGGAUAAGCCAUCAACAAGCGCAGGAGUGGGGGAAAAACUUGUAUCCCUUAUUUUUUCAAUUUUCCAAAUUUCACAUAUCCUAUCUAGAUCUAUAUCACUUUUUAGAUGGGAUUUUUUAUCCAGACUAUAUCUAAAUUUCACUAACAUCGGGACCCCUAGAGUGCCAAAAGUUUGCACAAAAAGACAAUUAAGUGUCAAAAGUUAUGAAAAUGACACUUAAGUGCUAAAAUUGGAAUAAAAUAGAUCACUUAAGUGCAAAUCUGGUCAAAAUAUUGACAUGACAAUUUUCCAGCAAAACAAGUGCAAAACGGUGUCGUUUUGGUGCUGACAUGGAAAAAAUUAAUACAAAAAUUAAUUAAAUGAAAUUUAAAAUUAAAUUUAAUUAAAACAUUUAAAAAUAAAAAUACAAAAAUUUUAAAAAAGGAGAGAGGCGGUUGAGGGCUGAGCCCUUGUCGCUAGGAAGGGUCGGAGAUGGAGGGGGGAGGGUUAGCCGGGGUUGCCGGGCCCUAGGCCAGGGGCCGGCGACCUCGGCCAACUGGUGGCAAGGGCCCGCGAGCCCUCGCCUAGUUUUGGGGCGAGGGUUGCGGCCCUCACCUAGUUGAGCCAAGGGCCGCCGAUCCUCGCAGAAUCUGGGUGAGGGCUGCAACCCUUACUAGAUUUGGGCAAGGGCUCGUGAGCCCUCGCUGCCGGUUAGUUGGGGUCGCUGGCCCCUAGCUAGGGCUCAGCGACCAUGGUUGACCCUCCCCCCUCCGUCGUUGACCCUUCACGGUGACGACAGCGAUGGCUCAACCCUUAGCUACCUCCCCUCCCCCCCUCUUUGUCUCUCUGUCUCUGUCUCUCUCUGUCUAUAUAUAUAAAUAUUUAUGAUUUUUUAAUACUUGUAUUUGUAUUUUUAAAUGUUUUAAAUAAAUUUAAUUUUACAUUUAAUUUAAUUUACAUUAUUUUUUUACCAUAUUAACACCAAAACGACGUCAUUUUUGCAUUGUCUAGCUACGACAGUGUGCAAAAUGAUGCCGUUUUGCACUUACUUCGCCAGAAAUUGCGUACAUCAGAGCCAUGAUUUCGUUUGUAAUAAUAUCCGUUCCAUAUGCUUAAUAGGUGAAUCCAAUGCUGAGAAGGUUUCUUCACAUCAUGACAGAUCUAGAAAUACUAGAAGCAUCUGUUUCUCUUACUGCAUCUCCAUCUUUUUCAACCCCUUCAGAUUUUCAUGUUUUAAAUGCUUCUAAGAUAUACUAUCUCUAUGAAAUCUCUCUUAGCGAUGAAACCAAAAUCUCUGAAACUUAACUUUCCCUGAUGAACUCAUAUUUUGCUUUUGCUAAACCCACCUCAUCCUUUUCUCCCAUUCGUUCCAUUCGCCAACUUAUUCGCCAAACUCCAAAGGAAGUAAAUGAGUACGUUAAGUCCUUCAAGUUCGACCAACAUCCCAUUCUCGCCAUUGAAAAUGAGUACUUUGUUACUCUCUAGAUUCCUCCAGAGUUUCCUAGGCAAUAGAUUCAAAAAGGAUAGUCUCAUGUCCAUUAUGGAGUUGUUCGUCUUGCUCUUACUUUUUAUGGCCGCAAGGGCUUGCCAGUUGUGGCAAGAAUAGCAUUACUGGAUACUAGAUUUCUAAAGUACUAGUAUACUUGUAUCAGUACUAUCCAAACCACUUUAAAUGUUGGAAUAGUUUUUGUGACUUUGUAUCCAAAUUUCAAUUUGCUCUUUCAAAUCCACAGUUACUUUCCUUUUUGAAAGUCUAAGUUUAGCUCACUGGAGCACCUCAGACAGCUGAUUCUGUUGUUGCAACACUACACUACUAGAUCGUUUAUUAAGUGCAGAACCAUGCUCUUGACUUGAAUUUCCACAAUGAAAAUGAAGAUGCUUUAUUCAUCUCCAUGCAAAAUGAUCAUGCAUCCUGCAUUCAUGUUCCCAGACAUAUCCCAAAGGAAAAGUUGCCAAGCUUCUUCUAGAGACUUGGAUCACUAACUAUGAAAAGUUACAUCAGAAUAACAAACCUUUCUAGUCUUCAGACUUUGAAUUUGUCAGAAAGAAAGAUGGAACUGUUUCCAUCAAAUUUGGCAAGGAAAAUAAAGAAAUUCUUUUUAUCUUCCAAAUCCUCUUUAUGAUCGAACCAUGUGUUCCGAGCUAGAUAAAAAAAAAAGAAGCUUGUUUAAUACUUCAAAAGUGAUUAACAUCAUGUCCAUUACUACAAAGACUAGUAUGGUCACUGUUUCUAAGAUCCUUUUUGUCAAUGUUCUUUUUGCACAAACUCUCCCGACGAGGUAGACCCAUAUGCAAGACCUCGACGGAAGCAUAAGAAGCCAAAAGAUCCUAUGUACCAAAGGUACUUGAAUGGAGAUCCCUCCGUUGAUACUCUUGGUGAGUGUGAUAAAUUCUAGUUUAUGGUUUCCUAUACACCAACUCCACCACCAGAGUUCAUUACUCCACUAAUAUCACCAAGUUCAUCACCAUCACCUCCUCCAUCUCCUCCAAAAAAAAAAGAAAACCAACUCUUUCCCCAUUUUAUAAGCCAAUCUUAAAGUGGGCGAAUAAAUAUUCCUACCCACUUGAGGCUCUAGCAGAACACCACCAAGUUCUUUCAUAGCCAUGUUCCAUGAGACAUACUUUCCUCUUUUUAUUCGAGAAAGUUAUAAUCUCGUUUCCUGCUCCAAAAGAAUUCAUUGAUCUACAAGGCAGAUAUCGGCAUGCCCCUAAGAUACCUACCCCCACUGAUGUGGAUGGACAUGGAAGAUAGAAAAGGACUCCUGUUGUUGAAGCUGUCCUAAAUUGGCAAUCGGAAACUCUUUUAGCAUAUAACAAUGCGUUCAAAGCAAUUGAUUCCAAGAUUGUAAAUGUGCAACAAGAUUUUCGAAAUAUGAUGAAACCACCAAGAAGAUGCUUUCAGAUUUCCAAAAGAGGCUUCAUGCCUUGGAAUCUAGAUAACAUUUAGGGUGUCAUCAUCUCGAAAGUCCUAAGGUGGAAAUAGAGAAGCUCAAAAGGCAAAUUCAACUCCUUGAAGAAGGAAGAUUCAAUCCAUUUCCGACUACUUUGCGGACAGAGCAUCCCCCUCUUCCACUAGCCCAUAACACAUCUAUCUUUGUUGCUAUCACAGAUGUUCUUGUUAGGCAAGAUAAGACAAAUGUGGCUGAAAUGCGAAAUCUUCUCAAAGAACUGGACUGAAUAAGAAAAGAAAAGGGAAAAGAGAAGAUGCCUAAAGAAUCCUUGCUUGUCAUAAGGAAAAAGCCAGAUCAAUUGAUGCUGUCGAAUCUAUUAGAAUCUUUCCGAAGAGAUUUGGGUAAUCAGGAAUCACAGUCUGAUCUUGUUACUCAACAUCUUGAUCCCGUCAUUCCAACAGAUCAGAUUCUAUUUUCAGCAGAACUAGCUUUUCCAAAUAUCUUUGAUACUGAAUUAAAUUCGGUAUCCCUCUUGUCCUCCUCAUCCUUCUCAAUCCCUACCAUUGAUUCCUUCCCUAUUGUACUAGUAAUUUCAUCAAUAUUCAUGAUCGAUCAUCCGGACCAAGAUAUGGAAUCAAACCAUUCUGAACCAAAGGUUGUUUAGCCAAACAAUCCCUCCCAGCACGUGUAUUUUGCAUCAAAAUAGUUUAUUUAUUUAUUUAUUUAUCGUUGAUGACAUUCCCUAUCACAAAUGGCCAUAAAGACUUGAAGAAUUUCAUACUUGGUUAAAUACCCAAACCCUUACCAACCAGGAUAAGUAUGAUGUCAUUUUUGAUUUUGUCACAAGGUUUACAGGUAGCCUCAAAUAUUGGUGGCAAUCUGUGUUAGAACAAGACCGGCUUCAAUUUUUACUCUCACUUGAUUUUGGUCAUGCCAUUAUCCUUCUAUAUCAUUUCUUUGUGGGAAAACCUUUUGACCUCCAAGAGCUUAAAAGGAGAGAAUUUUUCGAAAGAAGAUGCUGCUUCUUCCAGAAAAAAACAUCUUGAUAAAUAUUAUCGAGAAAUGUUUAAGCUCUUCUAUGGUAUUGGAGCUGAUCCAAACCAGAAACGCAUCUUCUUGACUUCCAUCCCCAAAGAAUUGUCUCAAUAGGUGGAGAGAACUUUUCUCAGCAAACAAAGAAGGAUUCAGGAUAUUCCGUUAGGAGAAAUCUAACAAGAAAUUCAUUUGUGCCUUGAAGAAUUGUGUAUCAAAUGCCAAAUGAUCCAGACUUAUGUCGACAAUAACAGAGAACUUGAUAUAGCAUGUUCUCGCCAUAAGCUAAAGAUCAAAUGUUCAAAGCGAGAUUGUGAUGGUUCUUGCGGAAAAUUUUCCAGAAAAAAGCACUUCAAGAAGCUCUGGAUAAUGAAAUCUAGGCGUGGCUCUAAGCAUUUUUGAAGAAAGAAGAAAUGGCGACACCUAUGCAAAAGGAAAGAUCACUCAGGCCACAAGAAGUCAAAUCAAUGCUUCAUCUGCAAUUAGAAAAGACAUUUUGCCAAAAAUUAUCCCCAAGCGAGAAAAUGUCAAAAUCAUAUGAUAUAUCAUAUAGAGAAUGAAACAGGUAAUUCUCUUGAAAAUGAUAAUAUCGAAUCUUUAUUAUCUGAGAAUGAAGAACCAUCUGAAUAAACUCUUUGUGUCAUUCCUUGUUACGAAACUUCUAGUGAAAUUGAUUCGGAUUCAAAUCCUGAAGAUAUUUUUCACAUAUCUCUCACUUCUUCAGAAUAAAGCACUAACAUAUUUUCAAGCUAAAUUCAUUGUCCCCAUUUCCCUGUGAAAAUCUUCACUUCAAAGUUUGCCAAGCCUUUCAUUGUCAUUGCUCUCAUAGAUACUGGAGCAAGUUCUUCAAUCUUGGACACCAAAGUUAUUCUUGAAGAAUAUUGGACUUCCUAUGUUUGAUACUUCAAUUCUACCUCAGGAGAUACUUUUUCUACGAAUGUAAGAACUACCCUAGUAAUCAUCUAAUUUUUUCCACAGUGUUCCAUAACCAUAAAAAUCUCUGGUUCCAGUCUUCCCCACAAGGAUUUGAUCAUUGGCUGGGAUAUCAUGACUAAAAUUUCUCAACUUCGUAUCAUUUCUAGAAAAUGUCUUAAGUAUAAGGACUAAUUUUCUAAAUUCGUCAAUAUCCAAAGACUUUUUUUCCAUCCAAAUGAGCCUGCUAGACCCCAUCAUGCAAAAGUUGUUAAAAUCAUGUUUGGAAUUUCAUUUUGAAUUUGCUCAAAAAUGUUCUCACCCUCUAUGGGAAAAUUUAGAGUUCUUUGUUUGCCUUCCUUUUUUAAAAAAAAAUGAGGAUAUCAAUCUAAACAAGGCGAGUUACAUGGGAAUGAAGUCAGAACACUUGGUUUUAACUCAAAGGGAAUGUUCGGAACUAUUGCAGCAAUGCCUUAUUGAAAUCUCCAAUUCUCAAUGGGCCUGUGAAGCUUUUUUAUGUCAAUAAGCGUGCCGAACAAAAUAGAGGAAAUAUGAGAAUGGUAAUUAACCAUCAGCCUCUUAACAUUUUUUUCCAAGAUGAUAAAUUCCCUUUACUCUCCAGAAAUUCCCUAUUUACUAGAUUAUCCAAAGCCCAUAUUUACUCUAAAUUCAAUCUCAAAGCCAGAUUUUGGCAAUUGUGCAUCCAUCCUAAAUACAGACCCAAGAUAGGGUUCUGUAUCAUGAACCAACAUUUCCAAAUGGAAAGUUAUUCAUUUUGGUCUAAAGGUGGUACUAUCCUUAUUCCAAAAGGUCAUGUGUCGAAUUUUCCAACUAAUUUUGUCAAGUGCAGUAAUAUACAUUGACGAUAUCGUGCUUUACAAUCUUAAUGAGCAGUCACACUGCCAACUUCUUAAACAGUUUGUAGAAAUUGUGUAAAAGCAUGGGAUCAUGCUUUCUCAAAAAAAGAUGAACAUUGUCCAUAUAUAAAUUGAAUUUCUUGGUAUGACCUUAACAAAGGUAUGUAUUAUCCAUGGCCAUAUAUUGCUCAUGAAUUGUUGAAAUUUCCUGAGGAAAAUUUCACAACAAAGCAAGUUCAGCAAUUUCUUGGAAUAAUUAAUUAUCUCAAAGAUUUCGUUCCAAACAUUGCAGAACUGUUGAUUCCAUUGAAAUUGAUGCUGAAAAAGAAUCCCCCACCUUGGAGAAAAUCUCAGACUAAAGCAGUCGUCGAACUUAAGGAGAUUAUGUAGACUCUUCCUCUGUUACAAAUCCCAUCGAUAAGGAAGAUAAUUCUCUAGAUCGGCGCCAGUGAUGAAUACUGGACAGCCAUCUUGUUUGAAGAAAUUGAUGGUAAGAGACAUCUGUGUACCUAGAAAAGUGGAAAAUUUUCCCAAGCUGAAAUGCAUUAUCAUUCCACUUUCAAAGAAAUCUUGGUGAUGAAAAAUGGAAUAAAAAAGUUCGAAUUCCAUCUCAUUGGCCAUCACUUCAUGGUAAAAUUGGAUAUCCUCAGAUGAUCAAGUUCAAACAGAAGCAGAUUUCGAAUUUUCAACUGCUUCAAUGGGCUGAAUGAUUUUCAAAAUACUCUUUUGAAACCAAACAUAUUGCCGGAAAAAAAAAUGUGCUUGCUGACUUCUUGUCAAGACCAAAAGCACCAGUAAAAAUCAACAUGUACAUCAUGAGGCAUGCUUUUCAUAUUCUUCAUAACAAUGAAAAGUAUAAGAUUGAAAGAAUACAAGACUAGUCAAGCUGGCAAUAUUACUAGGAGAUUGUGGAACAAAUCUAGAAUGACUGCCUUAUUGAAAAUUUGGAUAAUCUCAUGUGGCAAUUCCACACAGAUCUGUUUAGAUUUAAUGGGGGUUCGAUUCUUUAUCUUUUUAGAUUAAAUUCAGACUAUCCGUUCAUACAUCCUUUAAUCUGGAAGGAAGAUAAUUUCCCUGACCAACUUCGAUGGUUAUUAUGGUACUUAACCAAUAAGUACUGAAUAGUAUUGAAAUUCCAACUAGAAGAUUUAUUACCAACCUCACUAGGAUAUUUAGACUUGGCAGAUGAAACAUUGAAAAAGAGAGUGACAGAAAUCUCAUAGGUUUCCUUAAUUGGUUUUAUCCCUCUACUCACUGGAAAUACCUCUUGCAGAAAGAGCUGAGAACCACACAACUAAACCCUGAGGUCCAUAUUAUUUUGUUUUUUCGACGACCGUGGGCUUUUGUCACAAAUAAUGGUAGCAGUAGCAAUGCCCCCCAAAUUAUAGGUACCACAUCCUAUAAACCUCAACCACAUAGUGUAGAAGCUCAGAUUUACAAAUCUUAUUUAGAACCCGUUGGUUGCUACGAGCACCAGUAUCGAGAACUCCAAAGGAUUUUGUACUAGGAAAAUAAAAUCAUUCCUAAAGAUGCAUGGAACUAUAAUGUACCCACUGUAUGAGAUUAUUAUAGUCUCACACUAGAAGUUAAGGAAGCACUCGAAAUAUUCAGACAAGUUACAUCAUCACAGGAGCAUGAAAUGGCAGACACAGAUGACAUCGCACAGUCCUCUCAAGAUCCCUAUGUCAAAUGGGGAGGUCCUCUUUCUCAAGAUCCCUAUGACCAAGAAACUUUGUCCUUAUCUCAAAGCAUUGACACAUCCUACUAUACUCAGUCAUCCAAUUGGUCUCAGCUAAGCAUUCUUGCCAACACUACAGGCUCCUCUUAGAAUCAAGCGAAAGCAUCCUCGUCAAAUCAAAUUCUCUCACCAGAUUCACUUGUAGGACUUGAGAAAAAAAUAUGAAGAAUAGCUUAUGUCAAUGUAUAGUUCGGACGACUCAGACUAUGACUAUAAUGCUCGUGAUGGACGAGACUAUUGACCGUACAAGUCACUGUAGCAAGUCACUUUUCACUUUCAUUGUAGCAGUAGACUAGGGAAAUAACUGUUCAUUAUCAAUGUUCAUAUCGUGCGAAUAAUCUCCUAUGCCUUUAUUUGUUUCAAGAUUGUGAGAAUGAUCCUUGUUUAUGUGUGACCUCUUAUUGCCUAUAAAAGACAAGAAUGAUGUAAUGUGUUGGGCAGAGUCCCUUGAAGUAAAGUGAGUAUUUUGUGUAAAACUCUCUAUGGCUUUAUAAACUUAUCUUCUUCUCCAGUCUGGUAGGAUCAUUUGAGAAAUGUAGUUCGGAUAGUUAGAAAUGUUACCAUCCUGGUUCUAUAUGAGUGUUUCUAGACUCUGAACUAAAGGGAAGAGUGGUUUUAUGUUAAAAGGCUGUCUCUGAAGGGCUUGAACGGAAGAGGUUCACCUACUGUGGGGUAUGCCAACUUUUGGCACUUGAAAUAAUCUUUUGCCGAAUUUCACGUUACUCUAAACACCGGAUAUGAUCAAACUUUUACUAUCAAAGUUUUAUCUAGCCCAUCAAAGGCAGUCUUAUGAGAUAGGAUGCAAUGAUAUAAUCUAUGAAUUAGAUCAAACAUUUAUUAAAAGUUUAAGAACGAUAUUUCAUUUUUUGAAUGUUAGGAUGCACGAGUAAGUUAUGUUAAAACAAUCCCACAAUAUAUUGAUAGCUUUGAAAUAAGGCUUUCUCUUGGUGAUGACGAAGAUCCAUAUGGAGAAAUUAAUGGGAGGGUUUGUUUGGCCUAACUAAAUGAGAGGCUAUAUCAGUGGGAGGUUUUUCAUUGUAACCUUGUGCUUGGUAUUUGUAUUUUAGUAAAGGAUUUUGUUAGCAUAAUAGUUUCUGAGUUAUUGUGAGAAUAACAACUUAUUAUGAGUUACAAAAUUUUCUCUUUCUUUUUUUCUUCACUUCCUUCUCCUUCCUCCAACCAAUCAUCACUAGUGAUUGGCAAGAGGCAAGGUUGGUGAGGUACCUCGCUGGUCUCGAGGAAGCUUGACCAUGGUUAGGCAACCUUGCUCAUGGCUAGGCGACCUCGCCUAGGCCGCCAACUGGGCUGGUGAGGGUUGACCCUCGACGGCCAUGGGUGAGGACAAAUGCCGCUAGUUGGGCUUGCGAGGCUCGCCCUUAUUGAAUUUGGCGAGAGUUGAGUCUCAUUGGCCAUGGGUAAGGUCAAAGGCCGUGACCUCACGUGGUCUUUGGUGAGGCUUGCCAAAGGUUGGGCAAGGCUCACCGUCGUUGGACUGAUGAGGGUCGAGUCUCGUCGGCCAUGGGUGAGAUUGCAACUUGCCCAUGGCCGGCGAGGUGAGCCUAGGCCAAAGGCAGGCGAGACCUUGCCUAACCAUGGCGAGGGUGGCCUCACCAUUGUUGGGUGAGGCUCACCCUUGCUAGUGGUGUGUGGGGGUAAGCCUUGCCAUUGGUUGGCGAGGCUAACCUUGCUGGCUUGAGUAAAAUAAAAUAUUAUUAAAAGAUUAUCUACAUCAAUAUUAGUUGGACGAGCGGUGUUGGUCGGCCAAAAUUUCUGAAUGAAUUGAAUAGUAUAAUUGCAAAAUGUUUGGGAUUGAAUUGGCUAAAAAAAAAGGUCUAAGUUUGAAUUGGAAAAAUUACAAUAAGUUUAUGAUUGUUUUGGUACGUCCUCCCUAUAUGGGAAGGAUCGUGACUAUGCUUCAAUUGAUGUAAGCAAGUGCAUCUUCACAGCCACUACCGCUCCCCUCCUACUCUUUGUAGCUUAUGCUACUCCCCUCUUAUAAAUCUCGGCUCGCCUGACGCCUUCGCCAUUGUGUAGGGAACGAGCGAGCUCGAGCUAGACCACAGUAAUGGCGGCAUCGACAAUGACGAUAAGGAGGAUCAAGUUGGGGUUGCAGGGCCUGCAGGUGUCGGUGCAAGGGCUGGGCUGCAUGGGCAUGUCCGCCUUUUACGGGCCACCCAAGUCGGAGCCCGACAUGAUCGCCCUCAUCCACCAUGUCGUCGGCUCUGGCGUCACCUUCCUUGACACCUCCGACAGCUACGACCCCCACACCAAUGAAAUCCUCCUUGGAAAGAUCGGUUCUCUCAGUCUCUGUUUUGCCUUCGCAUGAACUAUAUGUGCUUAUAAUGUUACGGAAUGUAGCUUCAUCGAGCAGAGUGCUUUGAUCCUGCGCCUUGGUUUUCUGAUUUCGGGGUUGAUUUUGAGCAGGCACUAACGGGAGGGGUGAGGCAAAAGGUGGAAUUGGCGACCAAGUUCGGAAUCAGCUUCGCGGAUGAGAAGAAAGAGGUCCAGGGCGAUCCGGCAUACGUGAGGGCGGCUUGCAAUGCCAGCUUGAAGCGACUUGACAUCGAUUGCAUCAACCUCUACUACCAGCACCGUAUCGACACUCGCGUCCCCAUUGAAGUCACUAUAUGGAUCCCUUAUCAAACUUUCACCUCGCUUGAGACUUUCUCCGAGCCAUAUGAUUAGUUGCUAAAUUAGAUUGGUGUUGAUGAUGCAUCGUCAUGUUGUUACAAGUUUGUUGAAUUUUGUUAAAUGACACUUAAGUUCAGCUGAUAGCAAAGCUCAAGAUGCGGCACGGUGUUGUUCAGGGGUUGUGGAAUUUAGUAGUUUAAUGGCUUGAGUUUUCGUUUUGUGGGCAUCCUUUACAAGUUAAGGGUCAACAAGCAUGAAAAUCAUUCGAAAUCUUCCUUACCUUUGAGAUGAAAGUGCUCCGGGGUUCAUCCUGAUUUUUUUUUUUUUUGGUGGUGAAAGUAAGUAAUUGUAUUAAGCUUUGCCAACUAUACAAGAUGAAAUCUUGGCACCAAAACUUGCACUCAGAAUGACAUGACGUCAAUGCGAGUGGAAGGAUGCUGAGAUGAAAAAUAGCAAGCAAUAAACGGUGUUGACACCUAAAUUUUGGCGAUCCGAUUAUUUAUUUAUUACAUAAAAAUUAUGGGUCAAUUUGUCUCUUAAAAAAUAUUAAUUACAUAUAGAUUUAGGUGCAUUUAUUUUUAAUUUAAUUUUUUUGUAUUUUAUUGGAUCGAUGGUGGAUGGAUUCAAAUUAAUGGUUAUGAAUUUUAAAUUGACAAAUCGAACUAAGUUCACGAAUAUAAGAAAUUGGCGCAAGCCCGUAUUUGAAAAAAUUCUAUUGUAAUUUUUGAAAAAUCAAUAGAAAACAUUCAUUUUUGCAAAGGAAAUCAAGAAGAGCUGUGGAAAAUAAAAAGUGAUAUUACGUGCGGAAAAGAAAUCUUUGCAGAUGUUGAUUUAAAAAGGAAAUUAAAAUCCUAAUUUUUGGUCUAUAAAAAAGUAACUUAGUAUAGGGUUUUGGGGAGGCUACACAUGGAAUACACAGCCAGUGGAGGGCGAAAUUCGAAAAAAUUUGGAGAGCAAACGCGAGGGGGCUUUUUCCUUCGGUUGAUUGGAGUUGAGAAUUCAAGAAAAAAGAAGAAGAAAGAAUUCGUUUGUUUGUGAAAAAAGGCAGCAAAAGUGUGCAGAAAAAAAGGAAGAGACAGAGACGGGACAGGGAAGAGUGAUGUGAGAGAGAGACGUGGAGUAGAAUAAAAAAGAAAAAAGAAAGUAAAAACAGGGAAGACUGUUCAUCCUCGCAAGCGCCUCAACCGCUGUCGCCGAUCCCUUUCGCCCGCACCGGCCCGCGACCUGCAGCCGCCGCGCUCCGUCGCCGCCUCACCCGAGCCGCCGACCACCACCGCUCGCUGCUCACACUACCGCUGUCCCGAUCUGCCCGCUCGAGCGUCCCUACGCCGGCAGAUCUGAGCUGCUCGCCACUCCACCGCCGCGCGAGUUCCCGCACCGGUCCGCGCCUCCUCUGCUGCUCGUGCCGUGCCACCACCAGGGUUCCUCUCGCUCGCGAGCUCGCACCGCCGCCCCGCUGUGCUGAUCCGCGACGACCCGACGCUCCGCUGCUGCUGCUGCUGCACCUUCGCAGGUCACCCCACCAGCACCACCGUUCGUCGCCCUGGCUGUAGGCGCGACGACUCGACACCGCCUCUGCUCAGUCACUCCUUCACCCGCUCCUGCUGCAGCACCAGUCGCUGCAACCUCCGCCGUCGCUCUUGCAUCCGACCCGACGCCAGCAGCAACGAUCCAGAUCCGGCGCCUGCUGCAGCCACAGCCCGACGCCGCUCCUCUGCCCGCGACCCAAGACCGGACGCCCAGGUCCGACGCCCUGCAGCUCCCUCUCUGAGUGACUCCCGCGACUUCCCUCACCGGAGCAACCCACCACGUUGCUGCUUCGCUUGAAAAAAAGAAAAAGAAAAAGAAAACAAAAAAAGAAAAAUCAAUUUAGGUAAUUUUUCCUUUUAUUUAUCUAUCUUAUUUUAUUAUUUUUGUUAUUUAACUUUAUUUGUUCUUUUUCAGUAUAAUUAUUCCUUAGUGUAAGGAUGAGAUGUUCGACAUGAAAUAGCCUGUGAAAUUUGUGAUUGUCAGUCCGAUUUUCACGCCUAAAAUCCGACUUGCAAUCACUUAAAAAAAAUCGCUAAUCCGAUCUUCCGCCUAAGAUUCAAUUCGCGAUUUAUGUGAAAUUGACCAACUCGAUUUCAUGCGCGAGAUAUAAUUCGUCAAUUUGGAUAUCAUCUUGCUCCGAUUUGUUGUCGUGUCAUUUAAUUAAAUUUGCUUUCAUAAAAAAAAAAUGUAGGUUAGAAUUAGGUUUAUUCCCUAUUUUAGGGUUUACAUAUUUAAAAUAUGAAUUUUAUUUCGAAUUUUUUUUUAAAAAAUAAUAAUAAAUUAAAAAAUCAAAAAUCAAAUCAAUUAAUUUAGGUUGCUAGUUUUUUUUUUUUUUUUUUAAAACUUGGAUUGCAUGUUUAAUUGUUUGGCAAUUAUUAAUUUCGAAAUUAAUAAAACAAAAACGCAACAAAAAAUCAUCAUGCAUAUGUCAUAUAGAAUUAGGGCAUCUUUUGUAUGUCAUUGCAUAUUAGGGUAAAAUUGCUAAUAUUUUUCUUAAUUUAUUAUAAGUUUAGGUAUUUUCUUAGAUAGAUUGCAUUUUAGGAUUGCUUGGGUUAGGAUAAUAUUCUAAUUUAAAUUAGGAUUUGGCUUAACCUAAUUCCUAAUACAAAUUGAAUAGAAUCUUAAUCUAGUUAGAUAAUUUUCACAUUUAAUCUAAUUUCGAAUUUCAUGAAAAAUACAAAAAAAAAGUCUUAGAAUAAAUUGGUUUUAUUCUCUAGGAUAAAUUGCAUUCUCUUUAAGGAAAAAAGAAGAAAAAUAUCAUGUGCAUGCCAUAUAAGAUUAGACUCAUGAGAUGCAUACCAUUUAGUGAUUGUUGCUAGUCCAUUUAAUUAGAAAUUGCAUAUCAUUAGAAUUAGGUCAUUUAGUUAUAUUGCAUUGCAUAUUAUAUGAUUUUCAUUAAAUAAGUGAAAAUAAAGAAAUUGCGUAUUGAUUAGAAAUUAUAUUUAAAACCGUCGAUGUGAAUUUUGAUAUAACAUUGUAGAUGCUUUCGUUGCUAUGAAAUGACUAUUACAAUUUAUUCAUUAUUUAUCUGGGUGUUAAAUUGGUGGUUUGCGCACUCAUAUGAUCACUUCAUAUGUUAAAAAAAUAGAUUUAAAAUCAAUCCAAAUUGCAUGUAAAAACAUUUUUGAAAAUAAAAAGAAGUGGUACCGAAAGGGUAUUAGAGAAUCUAGCAUAAUUAAGUCUCUGAACUCAUAAAUCUCUAAUUCGUAGGAGUGAAGUAAAUCUCCCGUUACUUUAUUUGAAGAUUAAUGGCGACUCCUAACUGAAAUAUCGUUUGUAUGUUAAGAACUUAAACCCAAGUUGCAAAUUGGUAUGGCUUGGGAGAGCUUGAGUUAGGUCUAGGCUUAACAAUUCAUUAGCCAAACCUUAGGUGAUACACACCUGAAAAUUUGGUCGCGACAAAUGGUAACAGCCACCACACAGCAAAGAAGAGCCAAACAACGGCCACCACUAGCAACCAAAGCAAAAAACAAAAGGCAACCGAGGGAUCAAACAGACGCAGCCAGAUCACCCCAAGCACCAAACCAAAAAGGGAAAGGCACAGUUCAAGCGUCCCAGUUGAGAGAAGCCGUGACCGACACGAACCAGGGGAGGAGGAAUCUUCAGUGAAACAGCCAACCCCAAGGACCUCGGCGGUAGCUCAGCACAAGAAUGUCCACCCUAGAAGGGUAUCCAGUUAGAAGGAGAUGGAUGAUGGAACAACCAUUCUCAAGGAUCGAACUCGCCGCUGAAAUAGCAGCUACAUGGAAAUCAGCUUCGUAGAUUUGAUCAAGAAUCACCUAAAGAGAAAACAAUCGGAUCAAUGCCCCAGGCACGCUGGAGUAUCCUGUUCCUCGCGGUACUAUCGACAUUUCUGAAAGUUAGAGCCUUAUCCCGGACAACCCUAAGGAGAUGGUUCUUCAGGGCCGGGAUCGUAGGAGUUAGCUCUCUAAACAAAAUAUCAUUCCUGUUCUUUCAUAUAAUGUGACAGAGGGCUCCAAGGGGUUCAUCCUGAAUUUAUAUACAGGAAUCACAGAUAAAGUUGUUCCUGGACUUUAUGCGGAGACAUUUGAUUCUUGACAUAUUGUGAAAUAUGACAAGUACUUGGAAUACUUCUUUUAUUUGCUCUCUUCUGUGAGAGAUUCAGGAAAUCUACCUCCGUUAACUCAAUACCUUGUGACUUUUUUGUUGCAUUGUGAUGCAUGAUAAUUGAGGGAUCUAGACACAUAAAAAGCUAAUGCCAUGCAUAAUUUUCUGGAUCUUAACAUGUAAGAUCUUUCGUCCAAAAAAAAAAAAAAACAUGUAAGAUCUUGAUUUUGUUGUUUUGUCAUGUGAAUAUGCAUAGAUCGGAGAGCUAAAGAAGCUCGUGGAAGAGGGUAAGAUAAAGUACAUCGGUUUAUCCGAGGCCUCUGCCUCAACAAUCAGAAGAGCACAUGCUGUUCAUCCCAUCACAGCGGUGCAAUUGGAGUGGUCGCUUUGGUCAAGAGAUGUGGAGGCAGAGAUCGUUCCAACGUGCAGGUAGGAUAUCACUCUGUUAAUUGUUUAUGCAGCAACAACAGCUUCCUUCUGACUCUGCUUUUCCUUUAAAAUGUUGACUAGGGAGCUUGGCAUUGGAAUUGUUGCCUACAGUCCUUUAGGACGAGGAUUCUUUUCUGUUGGCUCCAAGUUGGUGGAGAAUAUCUCUAAGGAUGACUUCAGACAGGUCUGUUCCUGCUUGUCAACAUAAUUAGAUGCCAGUAUCGGGCUUUGGCCCUCCGUCCUUUUUCAUUCUCAUCUUUCUUCACAAGAUAAACUAUAUCUUGACACAACCAUUUCUUGAGUAAGGACUCCUAGCACCCUUCUUAUGAGAGUUUUGGCUCAAGUUCCCAUCUGACAUAAAGCCAAUUGUGUAUUACUCCCCGCCAUUAGCGUUUGACUAGCGAUAGUGCUGGGCAAGUGAAGUAGCUAUUUUUUUUUUUUUGUAGCUAAAAGAGCUUUGCGUCUGAUAACGUUCUUCUACACAUCAUCUACAUUUCUGAUUUUUAUUUUAUGUGUGACUCAGGAAAAUGAUAAUUGCUCAUAUGCUCUCUGCUGAGACAUUGCUCUAUGUUAUGCAGUAUCUACCAAGGUUCCGGCCAGAGAACUUGGCUCACAACACGAAGUUAUUUGACCGAGUGAAUGGAAUUGCACAAAGAAAGGGAUGCACCACAUCGCAGUUAGCCCUCGCCUGGGUACACCACCAGGGUGAUGAUGUUUGCCUGAUUCCCGGCACGACCAAGAUCGAGAAUUUCAACUAGAACAUUGGAGCUCUGUCAGUGAAGCUUACACCGGAAGAGAUGGCCGAGCUUGAAUCGAUUGCUUCUGCAGACAGUGUCAAGGGUGGCAGGUACGAUGGAAGCAUGUCUACAUGGGAAAACUCCGACACUCCACCCCUUUCUUAAUAAAAUUAUGUGUUUUUCUAGUAAGGGAUGUUGCGAAAACUUUAUUGUCUUUUGCAUGCGUAAUUAUAACUAUGAGUGUAACUAUGCGUAAUUACAACAUGUGGCGUCACACAAUCCUCAGCACUUGAAUUGGGGUCUAUCAAGGUAGUGCUUGAGUCUAUGAUGCUCAAGCUCUAUUCAAUAGCACUUAGGCUCGGGUCCGCAAAGAUUGUGCAUCAGUCCUCAAUGCUUGAGGUCGGCUCGUUAGUUAAUAAAACGUUUGUUCUUAUAAAAAUAAUUAUUUUUAAAAAAUCUAUUUUUUUAUAUUAUUUGUUUUCUUUCUUUUUAUUUUCCUUCUUCUCGGCUAGUUGCCAACCAUGGCGCCGAUUGCGCCUGAUAACAAGCACCGGAUGAGCUAGCCCAAGGCCAAGAAGACUUGAGAUUGCUGAUUUGGCAAGCUUGAAGCUGGUCAAGUGCAAGCUCGAGUUUCGCCCCGUGGCUAGUCGCCAACUACCACCGUGGCUAGCGUUCGGUCGAGGAAGAAGAAAAAGAAAAAUAAGUAAAAAUCUGAAUAUUUUGUAAUCUUCUAUAGGGAAAUCAAAUAAGAUUUUUCAUAUUAAACGAUAAAAAAUAUUUUCUAGUUUAUUUUUAAGACUUAACCAAAUAUUGAAAAUGACUUUUUGUAAAAUAUUAUUCAAAUAUGUCAUAUUUUUUGCGAAACAAACGGUACAUAAAUUUAAAUUUGAUAAUUGUCCUUGUUAAUUUGGUACACAUUAUCUGUCUCUUUGUUUUGUUGCUGAACUGAUGCUAAUCUCUAGAUGAAGCUUGACUAGUUUCAAUAGGCGGCUUGACUUUUGCGCUUCCUUUUUUUUAAAACCCAAAACACUCAAAACUUUCGUGAUACACGACUUUCGACAUGCAGAGUUACAAUCACUUCAAAUAAUUUAUCUGAAAAUUGUAUAGUGGGCCAUCCGAGAAAGGUGAGGGCAACUUGUCCCCCUAGAAAUUGUCAUGACGUGGAACUCUUGACAUGAAUUGAAGUGACUUUUGUUAAGAGUUAACUAGUCAAGAUCGGGCCACAUCUGUCCAUUCAUGUCCGCCACAUCCGGCCCCUCCAAUCGGACUCCCCGGCGAAAAGAUUCACGGACACGUGGCUGGAUCUAGAAAGUCACGGGUUUGACUUGUCUUUUGUGUCACUAUCAAGAAUGUGCAUGGUCCGGACGGGCGAUUCCCGACCUAGAAUCGGGAACUGCUUGCUAAGGACCGAUUCCAAAACAUUGAAACGGAGAUCCACCAGUUAGUUGAAUGAAUCCACUUGGGAACCAGAUCGCUGAUUCAGUCCGAUUUCUAGGUGGAUCUAUGGAACCGAUCUUGACGCUAAAUAAUUUUAUUUUCAAUAUAGAACGACUACGUGAUUUCCAUAACAACAGCUGGAGAGGUUGUAGAAGGAUAUCAUGGUAGGCACUUACGAUAAUCGUGAGGAAAUGAUAGCAAUUUUGGUUAAACUUGUUUUCUAUCAUGGCUAUCAUGGGUCGAAUAAAAUUUUGCAAGCAAAUUUCGUGUCCUAGGCAUUUUUUUUCUCUUAGGUGUGAUGCUUUAAAAACCCUCUAUGUGAUGCUUAGGAACCUUUGUUUGUGAUGAAGCCUAAAGAUUUAUUCCUUGUUGUGGACUUGUUGUCCUACAUCAAAAUCUCUCAGUCAAACUUUUUUGCUUUGUUUUGGUAAGUCUGUAUAAGGUAUAUUACAGAAGUUGCAUUACGAGAUAUUUCUUCCUUAUUGUCUUUUUAGUUUAACUAAGGCCAAAUUGUUUUGGCAUUUUUCCAAGCAUUUCAUUAUGGAAUGAUGAUAAGAAGCGAUCUUGACUUAAUGCUUUUAGUUAUUUGAUUUGGAUUUAUUAAUUAGUAAUUUCAUUUUUUAAUAUUAAAAAUUAAUAUAUUAUUUUAAUAUAAUCGGUUCGGUCUAGGUGGGCGGGUAGAUAGAUCCGCUCAUGGAACUGGGAACCAGACUGGUACUCACCGGUUCCCAUAAAUUGGAAUCGAGAACCGGACCGGUUCCCUUAAAAACUACCGGUUCUGGGCGGUCCAAGCGGGUUUCGGUUAUUUUGCACAAAGAAUUAAAAAUUCAAUUUUUUUUAAAAAUAUUUUAAAAAGAAUUAUAAAAAUUUUCAUUAAAUUUGUAUUGCAUAAAAAUGUUUUAACAAUACUUUUUUUUAAAUAAAAAAAUCAUAAAAACGAGCUUUUUAAGGGUUAAUUAUUUUUUUUAUGUUAUUGUUUUUAGUUAUUCAAAGGUAUGUUUACUUCAAAUAAGGGAAGCAUGUGCAUAGUUUAAUUCUUUAUAAAUAUUUAAAUGUUUUUUUAAACUUUUCUUAUUUUAUUUUAUUUUCUAUUUUUAAUUUAAUUUGAAGAUUUAAUCUAAUUAGCAUAUAAUAGAAGUGGAUUUUCCUAAAAUAUUAAGAGGUUUUAGCAAUACGAGUUGGAUCGGGUAUGUGUCGGGUAUAUAUGAAUAUGGAUCAGAAUAAGUUAAAUAGAUCAAAUAUGAGUUCAUUCGUUUUCGACCGGACUCAAAUCCGGCUUGAUCCGGUUUCGACCCAACCCAAAUCCGACUCGAUCCACUCAUUUAACGGGUCUAGAUUGAAUUGACGUAAGCACGUGCGUCUUCGUAGCUACUGCCGCUCCCCUCCUAUAAAUCUCGGCUCGCCCGACAUCUUAGCCAUCGUCACGGUGCAGUGCAGGGAACGAGCGAGCUCGAGCUAGACGACGGCAAUGGCAGCGUCGACGACGACGGUGGGGAGGAUCAAGCUGGGGUCGCAGGGCAUGGAGGUGUCGGCGCAGGGGCUGGGCUGCAUGGGCAUGUCCAUCGGCUACGGCCCUCCCAAGCCCGACCCCGACAUGAUCGCCCUCAUCCACCACGCCGUCGGCUCCGGCGUCACCUUCCUCGACACCUCCGACAUCUACGGCCCCCACACCAACGAAAUCCUCCUCGGAAAGGUCGGUUCUCUCAGUCUCUCUUUUGCCUCCGCAUGAAUCAUACGUGCUUAUAGUGUUACGGAAUUCAGCUUCAUCGAGCAGGAUGCUCCGAUCCUGCGCCUUGGUUUUCUGAUUUCGGGGUUGAUUUUGAGCAGGCACUGAAGGGAGGGGUGAGGCAGAAGGUGGAAUUGGCGACCAAGUUCGGAGUCAGCUUCGCGGACGGGAAGAGGGAGAUCCGGGGCGAUCCGGCGUACGUGAGGGCUGCUUGCGAGGCCAGCUUGAGGCGGCUCCACAUCGAUUGCAUUGACCUCUACUACCAACAUCGCAUCGACACUCGCGUCCCCAUCGAAGUCACUGUAUGGAUCCCACAUCAAACCUUUACCUCUCUCGGGACUUUCUCCGAGUGAUCAGUUGCUAAAUUAGAAUGGUGUUGAUGAUGCAUCAUCAUCAAGAUAUCGUUAAAUGUGACUUGAGUUCAGAUGAUAGCAGAGUUCAAGAUGUGGCACGGUGUUGUUCAAGGGAUUGCGGAAUUUAGUAGUUUAUAUGGCUUGAGUUUUUGUUUUAUGGGUCAACAAGCAUGAAAAUUAUUCGAAAUCCAGGGUUCACCCUGAUUUAUAUCUGAGAAUCACAUUUGAAGUUGUUCCUGGACUUUCUGCGCAGACAUUUGGUUCUUGACUUGUCAUUGUGAAAUAUGACAAGUACUUGGAAUACUUCUUUAAUUUGCCUUCUUCUGUGAUAGAUUAGAGAGAUCCAUUUCCGUUAACGAUACCUUGCCAUUUUCUUGUUGCAUUGAGAUGCAUAAAGAUUGACUAUUUUUUGCUAGGAGCUACCUAAUCAAAUUGUAAUGUUUGAGAAGUCAGGGAACACAAACUAUUCAGGCAUCAGGACACAAGAAAAACUAAUGAUGUUCAAUAACUUCUGGAUCUUAACACGUAAGAUUUUGACGAUUGUUGUUUUGUCAUGUGAAUAUGCACAGGUUGGAGAGCUAAAGAAGCUCGUUGAAGAGGGUAAGAUAAAGUACAUCGGUUUAUCCGAGGCCUCUGCAUCAACAAUCAGAAGAGCACAUGCUGUUCAUCCCAUCACAGCAGUGCAAUUGGAGUGGUCGCUUUGGUCAAGAGAUGUGGAGGCAGAGAUCAUUCCCACGUGCAGGUAGGAUAUCACUGUUUAUUUGUUUAUGCAGUAACAACAUCUUUCUUCUGACUCUGCUCUUCCUUAAAAUGUUGACUAGGGAGCUUGGCAUUGGAAUUGUUGCCUACAGUCCUCUUGGACGAGGAUUCUUUUCUGUUGGCUCCAAGUUGGUGGAGAAUCUCUCUAAGGAUGACUUCAGACAGGUCUGUUUCUGCUGGUUAACAUAAUUAGAUGCUCACAGUUACUGUCAUUCCCAUUGAAGUGCUGGAAACCUGUUCUUAUUCUAUAAAGAAAAAGUUUGUGACACGAAUGCUUCAUAUUCUUAUUCGAUCCAGCACUUGCCAGUCAUCCCACCUCUCGUGAUUCUAGAUAAAUUUAAAAAUCACAAGUAAUGGCUUUAAUGAGCCUGAAAGGGGCAGUUUUCUGGAUUCUCGUGCUUUUGGGAAUGAACAAAUAUAGGUUUAUUUGUAAGUUGCUCCGUUUCCCAGCUUUCCCACCAUUUGCUUAUCACUAUCCUUUCCCCACUUUCCACCCGCCCUUUUUCUCUCAUAUCUCUUCACAAGAUUAGCAAUAUUUGCUCAAAAUAACCGAGACCAGUAUCGGGCCUUGGCCUCCGUCCUUUUUGUUUCUCAUCUUUCUUCACAAGAUAAAUUAUAUCUUGACACAACCAUUUCUUGAGCGAGGACUCCCUAACACCCUUCUUAUGAGAGUGUUGGGAUCAAGUUCCCAUCUGACAUAAAGCCAAUUGUGUAUUACUCCUGGCCAUUAGUGUUUGAGUAGCGAUAGUGCUGGGCAAGUGAAGUAGCUAUUUUUCUUUGUAGCUAAAUGAGCUUUGCGUCUGAUAACAUUCUUCUACACGUCAUCUACCUUUUGUGAUUUUUUUUUCUUAUGUGUGACUAAUGUUACCAUCACACGUACAAAACUUAGAUUGUCUAGUUUGUUUCUGUUUUCACUUCCUACAUCAAACCCAUCAGCCUUGUGUGGUAGUUGCUAGAUCACUUCGCUCGACGUUUCUAGUUCUUAUGAUUUGGGGCUAGGUAUUUUAAUCAUUUCAAGAUAAUCAUAACUGAUCAUGCUUUUCCAGGUACACAACAAUUGUGCACUUCUAAAUGCUUAUUAGGUCAAGUAACAAGGCAAUCUGUUGGCAUGCAAUGCGAUCACUUUUGCACCUUGCUGCUGUAGAAUUUGGCCUUAAAAGGAAAAUGAUAGUUGCUCAUAUGCUUUCUGCUGAGACAUUGCUCUAUGUUAUGCAGAACCAACCAAGGUUCCAGCCAGAGAACUUGGCUCACAACAUGAAGUUAUUUGACCGAGUGAAUGAAAUUGCGCAAAGAAAGGGAUGCACCACAUCGCAGUUAGCCCUUGCCUGGGUACACUACCAGGGUGAUGAUGUUUGCCCGAUUCCCGGCACGACCAAGAUCGAGAAUUUCAACCAGAACAUUGGAGCUCUGUCAGUGAAGCUUACACCGGAAGAGAUGGCUGAGCUCGAAUCAAUUGCUUCUGCAGACAAUGUCAAGGGUGGCAGGUACAAUGGAAACCUCUCUCCAUGGGAAAACUCCGACACUCCACCCCUUUCUUCUUGGAAACCUGCCUAGAAACAUGUCUACUUCUGUUGCUGCGUCUUUGAUAUGCAGAGUUUGUGCAUUUGCCGCUGAAGUAAUUUGAGGCUAUGUUGUGUGGCUGUUAUAAGUACGUGUAAUAAGAGAGUGACUGUUUUCGUUUUGUACAUGUGACAUUCACUAUGAGAAGAUUAUGGAUAUGUUCUAAGCUUACUGGGGAAAGAUCACCCGCUAACACGAGAGCAAGUUUUUUAUGAACCGAGCUUGCCGUGCCGACUUUAUCGGGGUGACUUUUAGAAUAUGAGAAAUUGGGAUUUUGAAGAAUUCAAACUCAGUCAUACAUACUAGAGUGAUGCUUUAUUCUCCUCCAACUAGUCUUGGUCCAGUUUCCAGAGAGAUUAGGUCGAUCCUUGGUCCUAGAAUUUCAGGACUAGCACUGUGCGGGUCGAUUCUUAGUCCUAAGAGUUCUAGGUCGGUCCAAUCCAAACCAACCUUAUAUAUAUAUAUAUAUAUUAUUUAUAAUUUUUUUAUAUAGAGAAAACCUUAAAACAAACGGCGUCAAUAACAUUAAAGAGUUAUUUAGUAAAGAGUUCAAGUAAUUUUACAUUGUUCUUUAAUAUUUUAGAUUUUUAAUGUCUUUUACGAUAUUAAUAGUCAUAAUUUACGAAGGAGGAAAUUGUUUUUGUAAGGAGUCCUCAUGAUAUCUAAAAAGGUAUAAAUGGCAUCAUUCUUUAGUAUUCGUUCUCUUUGGUUUUAUUCGUUCUCUUAAUUAUCAAUUUGCCAAAAUUGAAAGAAGCAAUCGCUCACUUUGGGUCACUCCUGCCGCUCGCCGCUUAAUGCUCGCUUGGCUUGUUGCUCCAUGCUCGAUAUUCGAUAUUUAUUCUGUUCGACGCUCACCCCACUUGACUCUCGUUGCUUGCCUUUUUUAGUUGACCUUGCUCAUCAUCGAAUCCAUUAGGUCAAUAUGGUCCUCAGUUGCUUUUUCAAGGAUUACAAAAAAUGAAAUAAAAAAUUAUUAAUUAGUCCUAAGUUGACCUUGAAACCAGACCGAACCCAUUGGGUCCGUUUGAUCUUCAAUCGCUUUUUUAAGGUGUACAAAAAAUGAAAUAAAAAAUUAUUGGUUGGUCCCGGGUUGACCCUAGAACUGGACCGAACCCAUUGGAUCAGUUCGGUCAUUGGUCCUAAGCUUAAUAGGGUUGGUUCUCGGUCCAAAAAACUGAGGACCAGCAUUGUGUGAGUUGGUCAUAGGGUUAGGGGGUGAACCGGCCCAACCUGGACCAUACUCACUCCUACCUCUAACCAUGAGUUCAAUACUAGCACCAUGUGCAACAUACUCUUAGGACUGGAUGCUACACAUAGAUACAACGCUUCGCUUUGUGUUUGGUUUCGUAGCGAAGUAAAGGAACAGUAAAAUGCUAUUGGAUGUUCUCGCGAAAAUGAAGUUUGGGAUAAAAUGUUGGCGCGGUUGAUAUGAGUGUCGAGGAAAUCGAAGGUUUCUUGUUCAAGUUUAACCACCUACGGUUCAUGAGCUUUUAUGUAGCUCAAUACCUUCGCUCAUGCCUCUGCAUUAUUAUAAAACAGUCGGAGAUAUUGCGCAAGUUUCCUAAAAUUAAAAACAACAAUUCUAUUGUUUUUUAUUUGGAGUUAGAGUGGAGCAAUGUCGUUUUGUUUUGAUUUAGGAAAAUAACGCAAAUAGUCAUUGAACUUUGGUCCAAUGUGUUAUGUUCUUAUUGAACUUUUAAUUUAUUUAGUAUGACUGUCGAACUUUUUAUACAUGUUUAAUUUAGAUCCUAGGCUAGAUAAAUCCAACGAUGCUGUGUUUGGUCGUUCGAACAUCUUUGCUGUAUGGGAUAAUGAAUGGAUGAAAAUCCCAUCUAAUAUUUCUUGACGUCUGGAUAUAGCAUGAUUCAAAAUAAAUCUUUUUUUUUUUAAAUGAGUGUUUGAUUUGUAUAAUUAAAAUUAAAAAUAAACCAUGGAAGUCGUGAAUAGUAUUCAUCCUUUCACAAUCUUCAUCGAUAUUAAACACCCCCGUUCCAUGUGACUUCAAGGACGCUCUCUCCUUCUGCAACGCCCCUUUCGCUGCCCUUGAUCAACUUGAUGGAUUACGCUCGCUCUACCUUUGACUUCGCCACAUUGAGAGGCCCUUGGGUUUGAGUUCUCCGCUGGUCUAGCCAUCUUUACUUCGAAUGCCUUUUCCUGCGAUGAAUCCAUCCCCUUCGACGAGUGCGAAUACUGCGUUGAUUCCCUGUUACCGUGCCCCGACUUGUUCAGUCGCUUCAACAGCUUCCCCCGAGACAGCGUGCGGAUCCGGUUUAUGAGUGGUAGCACCAUCGGUGCUACUCGCUCCGAGUGACGUGGUUGAAGAGCUCUAUCACCUUGGCUGCCGCCUCUUUCGGAUCAUCUUCUUCACAGAGAAGAUGUCCAGCUUUGAUCGGGAUCACAAAGUUCCCUACUAAAAUGGAGUUAAGUGACAUAAGAAAGAGGCAGGGCUGACGAGCUCCGACGCCACUUUUCCGAGGCAGCCAAAGGUGGUAAGCAGCUUGUCACUGGUAGGAGGAACGGUGGCCCUUAGACUUUGCUCAGGUCGUUGUGGCGAGGGCUUCUCUAGGUAUCUUCGCGAUACUCAUGCUCUAAGUUUGUGGUGGUCAUUUUAGUGAGAGAAAUUGAAACAAGAGAGAUGAUGCGGCACCGGUCAAAAGUGAGGAUAAGCCAUCAACAAGCGCAGGAGUGGGGGAAAAACUUGUAUCCCUUAUUUUUUUCAAUUUUCCAAAUUUCACAUAUCCUAUUUGGAUCUAUAUCACUUUCUAGAUGAGAUUUUUUAUCCGGACUAUAUCCAAAUUUCACGUUACUCUAAACACCGGAUAUGAUCAAACUUAUCAUAUCAGAGUUUUAUUCGGCCCAUCAAAGACAGACUUAUGAGAUAGAAUGCAAUGAUAUAAUCUAUGAAUUAGAUUAAACAUUUAUUAAAAGUUUAAGAAUAAUAUUUCACAUUUUGAUUGUUAGGAUGCACGAGUGAGUUAUGUUAAAACAAUCCCACAAUAUAUUGAUAGCUUUGUAAUAAGGCUUUCUCUUGGUGAUGACAUAGAUCCAUAUGGAGAAAUUAAUGGGAGGGUUUAUUUGGCCUAACUAAAUGGGAGGCUAUAUCAAUCGGAGCUUUUUCAUUGUAACAUUCCCUUGUGCUUGGUAUUUGUAUUUUAGUAAAAGGAUUUUGCUAGCAUAAUAAUCUUUGGGUUAUCAUGAGAAUAACAAUUUAUUAUGAUUUACAAAAUUUUAAAAUAGUAAACCUCAAUUCAAUUUUAAACUUUUUUUUUUCUAACUAAUUCAAUCCUAAAUAUUUUGCAUUUGUGACAAUUUAGUCUAUUCGGCCAUUUUUCGCCAAGAGGCAUUGAUGUGAACUUUGGCUGAUCGACCAAUGCUGACAUGGACAAUUUUUUUAAUAAUAUUUUAUUUUUCUUAUUUUUUAUUAAUUUUUUCUUUCUUUUUUUCUUCACUUCCUUCUCCUUCCUCCAGCCAGUCGGCAAGAGGCAAGGUUGGUGAGGGACCUUGCUGGCCUUGAGGAAGCUUGGCCAUGGUUGGGCAACCUUGCUCGUGGCUAGGCGACCUCGCCGAGGCCGCCGAUUGGGCUGGCGAGGGUUGACCCUCGUUGGCCAUAGGUCAGGACAAAGGCUGCUAGUUGGGCUUGCCCUUAUUGAAUCUGGUGAGGGUUGAGUCUCAUUGGCCAUGGGCAAGGUCAAAGGCCGCGACCUCUCGUGGUCUCUGGCGAGGCUUGCCAAAGGUUGAGCAAGGCUUACCCUCAUUGGACUGACGAGGGUUGAGCCUCGUCAGCCAAGAGCGAGAUCGUAACUUGCCCAUGGCCGGUGAGGCUCGCCUAGGCCAAAGACAGGCGGGGCCUUGCCUAACCAUGGCAAGGGUGGCCUCACCAUUGUUGGGUGAGGCUAGCCCUUGCCAGUGGCGUGUGGGGGUAAGCCUUGCCAUUGGUUGGCAAGGCUGACUUCACUGGCUUGAAUAAAAUAAAAUAUUAUUAAAAGAUUAUUCACAUCAAUAUUAGCCGAACGAGUGGUGCUCGUCGGCCAAAAUUGGCCGGAUGAAUUGAAUUAGUAUAAUUGCAAAAUGUUUAGGACUGAAUUGGCUAGAAAAAAAAAAGAUUUUAAGACUAAAUUAGAAAAAUUGCAAUAAGUUUAUGAUUGUUUUGGUAAUUUUUUCGUAUAAUAACCCUAGUAAAGAUGACUCACUUAAUUUGAGCGUCAAUAAAUCAAAGGUCACUUGUUUAGUUCUCACAACUUAUUUGUAAAUCACUUUAGAAGUGCAAAUCCAAUCAAUUUAUGAGCUUGCAAAAUGAGUCUCUAGAUAAACCAACUUUUGUAUUCGUGCUUCAGGAUUAUAAUAAAAUAUUAGAGGUUUUCAUCAGUGUAUCAUGAUAGGCUAGAUAGGGCGUUUUCUUUUGCACUUGUCAUACAUGAUCAUUUUGUAUCCUUUGAACUCAUGUUAUUUGUUGGUACUAGGUUGAGUGGUAAUAUGAUCUCCUACCUUAUACUUAGAUAUUUCAUUUAUUAGGCUUCGCCUCACUCCUUUUUUUCUUUUUUUUUCUUUUUUGUUGUAGGAUGAUUCCCCUAAAGAUGGUGACGGAGGGGCCGAGUUGAUAUCGGAAGCCAUUAAUCCUUGAGUUGGAUGGUAGUUUAGUUAGUAUGGAUGUAAUGGUAUUAGGUGACCCCGAUCUUUCCUAGGACUAUAAAAUUUUUUGUGAUAAUUACUAUCGAUAUUGUAUAAAGCCAAAGACACUUUUUUUUUUAAUAAACUCAUGCAUUUUUCUAGUAAAGGAUGUUGUGAAAACUUUAUUGUCUUUUCCAUGCGUAAUUAUAACUAUGAGUAUAAAUGGAAAUGACAUGUGCCGCAUGUGAUGUUCCAAGGCGUCACAUAAUCCCCAACACUCAAAUUAGGGUCCAUUAAGGCAGUGCUUAAAACUAUGAUGCUCAAGUUCUAUUCGGCAGCACUUAGGCUCGGGUCCAACAAGAUCGUGUGUCAGUCCUCAAUGCUCGGGCUCGGCUCGUUAGUUAAUAAAAUGUUGUUCUUAUAAAAAUAAUUCUUUUUAUUUUCAUUUUAUAUUCAUUUGUUUUCUUUCUUUUUCUUUCUCCUUCUUCUUGGCUGGUUGCCGACCAUGAUGACGAUUGCGCCUGAGAACAAGCGAGAGAUGAGCUAGCCCAAGGCCAAGAAGACUUGAGAUUGCUGAUUUGGCAAGCUUGAAGUUGGUUGAUCAAGUGACGCUAAAGCUCCCUAGCGUUGGGCAACCUCGAGUUUCACCUCAUGGCUAGUCGCCAACUACCACCGUGGCGAGCGAUCGGUUGAGGAAGAAGAAAAAUAAAAAUAAAAUUAAAAGAGAAAAUAACUAAAAAUCUGAAUAUUUUGGCAUUUUCUAUAGGGAAAUCAAAUCGAAAAAAUAUUUUCUAGUUUAUCUUUAGGACUUAACCAAAUAUUGGAAAUAUUAUUCAGAUAUGUCAUAUUUUUUGCGAAACAAACGGUGCGUAAAUAUUUAGAUUUGAUAAUUGUCCAUGUUAAUUAGGUACACAUUAUCUCACUCUUUGUUUCGUUGCCGAACUGAUGCUAAUCUCUAGACGAAGCUUGACUAGUCUCAACUCAAUAGGCGGCUUGACUUUUGCGCUUCCUUUUCUUCUUUUCUUUUUUCUUUUUAACUCAAAACACUCAAAACUUUCCUGGUACACGACUGUCGUCGUGUUACAAUCACUUUCAAUAAUGAUGGCCAUCCGAGCAAGAUGAGGGCGACUGGUCCCCCUAGAAAUUGUCAUGACGUUUGACUUUCAUGAAUUGAAAUGACUUUUCUCUGUCAAGGAGAAAAAUAGUUAACUAGUCAAGAUCGUGCCACAUCUCUCCAUCCAUGUCCUCCACAUCCGGCCCCACCAAUCGGACUCCCCGACAAAAAAAAUCGAGGACACGUGGCUGGAUCUAGAAAGUCACAGGUUCGACUUGUCUACUGUUAUCACUGUCCUUUUGCAAUAAUUUUUUUACACCCGUCUAGCUGUUGUGAGCUCCUCUGACAUACUAAUUGUGUGGAUAUGGUGAACUUGGGACCUUCUAUAAUCUGUCCAUAUUAAAAAUUUAAAAUGGACAAAUUCCGCCUCUCAUUGUGGAAUUCCACCCACAUUUCUCGCAAACUUUCAAACAUUAGUUCCAGGUCGUGCAUUCCAAUUGAGCCUUGUCUGGUCAAAUAUCAAAGUACUCUAGAGAAAAAUUUUAAAAAAAAUUGUAAAAAAGAGAGAGAAGGAAAACGAUUCAGCCUUAUAAUAACUUGCUAGGAACCACGUAGUUAAUUAGAGCAUCAAGAAAUUAGAGGUAGCUUGUGUAGUUCUCGCAAGUUACUUGUAAAUUGCUUUAGAAGUACAAACUUAAUUGAUUUAUGAGCUUGCACCAUAUUUUAUGAGUUUCUGAAUAACCAACUUUUGUAUUCAUGCAACUCACUCCGCUGUGACUGAGUUGGUUCGGACGUUCCCUCCUCUUCCAAUUGGGGGGAGGUUUGAGUCACCACGAUUGCAUUUGCGCAACUUAAGUGCGGCGCCAUGAGAGGUGGGUCCCCGUGCUAGCGUCACCGUGGGUUUACGUCGCCAGCUGCCGGUUGUACGGCGAUUCUCAAGUCAUAAAAAAAAAAGAAAAAAGAAAAUUUGUAUUCAUGCUUGUAGAUUAUAAUAAAAUAAUUGGUUGUGGUGGGCAAUUGAGAGUGACACCGUUUUCGCCUUUUAUUUUUUGUAAUAUGUGAAGUGUUGUUCUGUUUUUUGUUUUCGUCACCCUCCCACUUGUGCUAUAUUUGUUAGGUCUCCUCGCCAGGAGUUCGUCACUUUAUGUUAUUGACCUCUUAAUUAAAUACAACAAUACCUUCAAGGACUGCUCUUCAUAAAGGCGCGGAUUGGACGGCCGGUGACCGAGAUAGCAGCCUCCGCCCCUCCCUCGGUCUUGCCCUUUGCAUAACUUUUAGAAAACAUGCGUGAUUAGAGGAUCAAUAGUGACUUAAUUCUAACCCGUAUCGAUGUUACCCGUUUAGCAUCUCUUAGUAAAUGUAAAUAUUGUACGCGGAUGACAGCAUUUUGAAGAAUUUACAAUUGGUGUUCUUUUAUUAAAUAUGGUUGAUAUCAUGAAAAAUCUUAGAUUGAUACAUUUGCGACAAACUUAUCCCAAACUAUUUUUUUUACACAAAAACCGUAAACUAGUAUAUUUGUAAUUUUACCUAAAACUAUUUUUUUUUAUCGUCAAAAACCUCAAACUGAUAUAUUUGUAGCAAAAUUACUCUUUACUAACUAGUGUUAAAUUAUACUAAUAUGAAUUGGUACAUCUAUGACAAACGAAGGGUAAAAUCCUAAAUUGGUACACUCAUUAACUAUCAUAUGUCAUUUAACUCAGUAAUUUAAUAGUACAAUUUAAGGGAAAUUAACGGAGGGUCAAUUUGUCAUAGGUGUAUCGGUAUGAGAUUUUUGAUAGCAAAUGUAGGAGUUUUACAUGGUAUUAAACUCUAUUGCAUAUGAUCAAAAGUCCUAGUUUCUACUAUUUUUGUCGACACAAUACCUUAAAAAACCUCAAACUUAAGCUCUGAUCCUAAUUCUAUCUUUUGUGUUAUAAGACCUCCAACUUUAGAUCAUGUCCCAAUUCCACCCUAACAUACAUAUUUUAGAAAACCCCAUAUUUUAGUUAUAGUCCCAAUCUUAUCUAAACAUCUGUUAUCUCAUAAAAUCCCUCAAAUUUAGGUCAAGUACCAAUUCCAACCUAAACGUUAUUUUGUCUUAUAAAAAGAAUCCUAGCUUUAGGUCCAAUUUCAUUUUCACUUUUUUUUUUUAUCUCAUAAAAGAUUACCAACUUUUACUUGAGUCCCAAAUCCACUCUCCAUUAACCCUCCAUCAAAAUUGCCCUUAGUGAUUUUGUGCUCGGUUUUUGAUCUCGCGUGCUUGGAAAUAUUUCAUUUCUCUUGAACAACUUGUGCUUGAGGGUUUUCCAUCUCUCGAUGUCAGCAGGAAAUUUUGCACGAAGGGUUAAUGGUGGCAAAUAUGCGACUCAAGUAAAAAUUUAUAGUUUUUUCAUCAGACUAUAAAAAUUUUACGGUAAUAUUGAGAGUGGAUAGGCUUUUCAUAAGACAAGAAAAGGUUUAAGGUAGAAUUAGUAUAUUAUUUAAAAUUGAAUUGUGAAUGGCUAUAAAAUUAGUGAUUUUUUUUAUGAGAUAAAAGGUAAAAUUAGGAGAAAAGCUAAAGUUAGAGAGUUUUUUUUAGGGUAUCAAACCUAUUUUUGUCAAUCAUAUGAUGUCAACAUUAUCUUUGUUUUUGUUUUUCUUUCAAUUGUCCAUUUGGUCGGUUCUUUUCUAUUCUUAUUCUCAAACUUUUGCCUUGACUCAUUACAAGUGUGAGAAUUGAAACCACAUUUGAUACUAUAUUGUCCCCCGGUAGGCAUUCAAAACCCCCAUCUCCCGCUUCUCAUGUAAGUUAUGAAUGGAGCCUUCGUGUCGUGUCCGACACGCUCGAAGAUGCGGUCAAUACGUGUUCGAAAUCCGACACGUGAACAAUUCUUAUUGACACAUUCUAACACACAAGUCCGAGAGAGAGGAUCGUUGAAGAAAACAAUGGCAAGGGAGCGAAGGCAACGGCAAGGCCACGACGGUGAGAGAGGGCUAGAGGAAGAGUAGAGACCGAGAUGACCUAAAGAGAGGAUCGUGACUGCAAUGGAGGGCCGGUGGCGAGACUGCACCUAUGUAGGAGGAAGGGUUGGAGGUGAGGCGGCAAGCGAUUAUGACAAGGCAAUCAAGAGAGAGAAGAGAUUGAGAGGUGGAUGGUCGUGCGAGGAGGAGGGGAAGGCCAGGGCUAGGGUUUUUGAAGGGGGAAAAUCAAAAAAUUAAAAACAUGAUUUUGAUGGGACAUUAGGGUUGUGCAAGGAGGAGGGGAAGGCCAGGGCUAGGGUUUUUGAAGGGGAAAACUCAAAAAAAUUAAAAACAUGAUUUUGAUGGGACAUUGCUGUGAUUUCUCCUUUAUGGAGAGGGGGAGCGUGUCGGGAGGUGGAGGGGGAGGGCAGAUAAAUGAGGGAAAGAUGAGUGAAAUAAGUUUGUUGGGGGCACAAAAGGAGGGGUUGGUAGGACCUGAGCAAGUCCUUAGACUGCUCCGUCUGGUCGGAAAUAGCCCACGGACGUAAAAUGUGGGCAAUGUUAAUCGUGGGAGAUCAGACCACCCUGUGUAAGGAUCUCCUGGCUCAGAUUCCCGCGAUGCCUUUCUCCUAACAUAUUAGGCUGGGUACAGGAAAAUGAUGAGUGAAAUAAGUUUGUUGGGGGGGGGGGGCACAAAAGGAGGGGUUGGUAAGGGUUGGCAUGGACCCCAUGGAUUUUUAUUUUUUUUUAAUCAAAAAAAUAAAUAAGGAAGGCCAGAAAGUGGGGGAAGAAACUAUGGAAAGAGAGUGAAGUAAAUGUGGGGGUGAGGGUUGGGGUGGACCACGGGGGUCUUUUCUUAUCAGAAAAAUAAAUAAGAAAAACUAUAAGGUGAUUUCGGAAAAUGAAAGUGUUGAAUGUUGAAUAAUAAUAAAAUUUGAUAAUUGUAAAAGAUUAUAGAUUUAUUUAAAUAAGUUAAUUCUAAUUUUUCUUAAUCAUUAGUUUUAUCAAUAAUUUUUGUUAGAGUUAGAAAUAUGUUCGUAUGGAUGCUAUAUGGCAUAUGGAAAGGGUGGCCUCACUUCUGGCGUUUCAUGUAUGGAAAGAGUGAUUAUUAAUGGCGCAUUUGGUAACGUUUUUGUUUCGGAGGACAAUUUUUGAAUAGAAAUAGUUUUUUUUUUUGUUCUAGGGAAUAAUUUUUGAGUAUAAGAAUGUGUUUGGUAACUGCAAACAAUUUCUACUCUAAAAAUAGAAACGCGCUUGGUAAACUUGUAUAAUUUCUUUGUUUCUUUUAAUUUUUUAAUAUUUUUAAUAUUUUUUUUCUUUUUUUCUUUUUUCUUUUUCUCUUUGGUCGGUUGCUGGCUAUGGCGAUGUCCGUUGAGCCUUGUCCAGGCAACGCGAGGUUCGCCUCGUGCCGAUUGGGGAGGUCAAGGCCUCUUGGCUUUGUCUGGGCUAAGCGAGGUUGACCUUGCCCAGCCACCGGCGAGACUCGGCCUCGCUGGGCCACCGCUAGGCGACUCUGUCCUGGAGGUGGCUCGGCGAGGUCGAGCCUCAUGCGGCCAUGGCGAGGCUCGGCCUCUCUGGGGGCUAGCGACACUCCGGCGAGGUCGUCGGCUCUCGUCUAGCCAGUUGCCGGUGUCAACUAUGGCUAAGGCUGAUGACNNNNNNNNNNNNNNNNNNNNNNNNNNNNNNNNNNNNNNNNNNNNNNNNNNNNNNNNNNNNNNNNNNNNNNNNNNNNNNNNNNNNNNNNNNNNNNNNNNNNCGUCUGGUCGAAAACAGCCCAUGGACGUAAAAUGUGGGCAAUGUUAAUCGCGGGAGAUCGGACCACCCUGUGUAAGGAUCUCUCGGUUCAGAUUCCCGCGAUGCCCUUCUCCUAACGUAUUAGACUGGGUACAGGAAAAUGACGAGUGAAAUAAGUUUGCUGGGGGCACAAAAGGAGGGGUUGGUAAGGGUUGGCAUGGACCCCAUGGACUUUUAUUUUUUUAUCAGAAAAAUAAAUAAGGAAGGCUAGAAAGUGGGGGAAGAAACUAUGGAAAGAGAGUGAAGUAAAUGUGGGGGUGAGGGUUGGGGUGGACCACGGGGGUCUUUUCUUAUCAGAAAAAUAAAUAAGAAAAACUAUAAGGUGAUUUCGGAAAAUGAAAGUGUUGAAUGUUGAAUAAUAAUAAAAUUUGAUAAUUGUAAAAGAUUAUAGAUUUAUUUAAAUAAGUUAAUUCUAAUUUUUCUUAAUCAUUAGUUUUAUCAAUAAUUUUUGUUAGAGUUAGAAAUAUGUUCGUAUGGAUGCUAUAUGGCAUAUGGAAAGGGUGGCCUCACUUCUGGCGUUUCAUGUAUGGAAAGAGUGAUUAUUAAUGGCGCAUUUGGUAACGUUUUUGUUUCGGAGGACAAUUUUUGAAUAGAAAUAGUUUUUUUUUUUGUUCUAGGGAAUAAUUUUUGAGUAUAAGAAUGUGUUUGGUAACUGCAAACAAUUUCUACUCUAAAAAUAGAAACGCGCUUGGUAAACUUGUAUAAUUUCUUUGUUUCUUUUAAUUUUUUAAUAUUUUUAAUAUUUUUUUUCUUUUUUUCUUUUUUCUUUUUCUCUUUGGUCGGUUGCUGGCUAUGGCGAUGUCCGUUGAGCCUUGUCCAGGCAACGCGAGGUUCGCCUCGUGCCGAUUGGGGAGGUCAAGGCCUCUUGGCUUUGUCUGGGCUAAGCGAGGUUGACCUUGCCCAGCCACCGGCGAGACUCGGCCUCGCUGGGCCACCGCUAGGCGACUCUGUCCUGGAGGUGGCUCGGCGAGGUCGAGCCUCAUGCGGCCAUGGCGAGGCUCGGCCUCUCUGGGGGCUAGCGACACUCCGGCGAGGUCGUCGGCUCUCGUCUAGCCAGUUGCCGGUGUCAACUAUGGCUAAGGCUGAUGACUGGCAAAAGGAAGAAGAAGAAGAAGAAGAAGAAGAAAAGAAAGAGAAAAUAGAAGAAGAAAAAUGAUAAGAAAAAAAAGUGUUUUUCGAAAGUGUUCUCGAGAAUAAGAAAUAAGUUUUUUUUUUUAAUUUCUUAUUUUUGUUCCAAAGUUGCUCUCACAAUAAAAAAAAAAGACCAGAAUAAAAGUAUAAACAAAUGAGUUUCUAUUCUUUUUUGGUUCUCUGGAACAAAAUAAUAAAAAUUUAUAUUCCAGGAAAAAAAAAUAAUUUUAAACGAACACACCCUAAGAUAUCUUUUGUAUUCCGGGGAAGUAGUUCAAUUGACGUGAGCCCGUGCGUCUUCCCUACAUGGGAAGGGUCGUCACUGGGUCUCAUCUGACCUAAGCAAGUGCGUCUUCACAGCUUUUACCGCUCCCCUCCUACACUUCGUAGCUACCGCCACUCCCCUCCUAUAAAUCUCGGCUCGCCCGACGCCUUCGCCAUCGUCUCGGUGCAGUGCAGGGAACGAGCGAGCUCGAGCUAGACGACGGCAAUGGCGGCUUCGACGACGACGGUGAGGAGGAUCAAGCUGGGGUCGCAGGGCCUCGAGGUGUCGGUGCAGGGGCUGGGCUGCAUGGGCAUGUCCGCCUUCUACGGCCCUCCCAAGUCCGACACCGACAUGAUCGCCCUGAUCCACCACGCCGUUGGCUCCGGCGUCACCUUCCUCGACACCUCCGACAUCUACGGCCCCCACACCAACGAAACCCUCCUCGGAAAGGUCGGUUCUCUCUCAGUCUCUGUUUUGCCUCCGCAUGAAUUAUAUGUGCUUAUAGUGUUACGGAAUUUAGCUUCAUCGAGCAGAGUGCUCUGAUCCUGCGCCUUGGUUUUCUGAUUUCGGGGUUGAUUUUGAGCAGGCACUGAAGGGAGGGGUGAGGCAGAAGGUGGAAUUGGCGACCAAGUUCGGAAUCAGCUUCGCGGACGGGAAGAGGGAGGUCCGGGGCGAUCCGGCGUACGUGAGGGCGGCUUGCGAGGCCAGCUUGAAGCGGCUUGACAUCGAUUGCAUCGACCUCUACUACCAACAUCGCAUCGACACUCGCGUCCCCAUCGAAGUCACUGUAUGGAUCCCCCAUCAAACUUUCACCUCGCUUGAGACUUUCUCCGAGCCAUAUGAUUAGUUGCUAAGUUAGAUUGGUGUUGAUGAUGCAUCGUCAUGUUGUUACAAGUUUGUUGAAAUUUGUUAAAUGACACUUAAGUUCGGCUGAUAGCAGAGUUCAAGAUGCGGCACGUUGUUGUUCAAGGGGUUGUGGAAUUUAGUAGUUUAGUGGCUUGAGUUUUCGUUUUGUGGGCAUCUUUUACAAGUUAAGGGUCAACAAGCAUGAAAAUUAUUCAAAAUCUUCCUUUGAGAUGAAAGUGCUCCAGGGUUCAUCCAGAAUUUAUAUACGGGAAUCACAUAUAAAGUUGUUCCUGGACUUUAUGUGGAGACAUUUGAUUCUUGACAUAUUGUGAAAUAUGACAAGUACUUGGAAUACUUCUUUUAUUUGCUCUCUUCUGUGAGAGAUUCAAGAAAUCAACCUCCGUUAACUCAAUACCUUGUGACUUUUUUGUCGCAUUGAGAUGCAUGAUAAUAGAGGGAUCUAGACGCAUAAAAAGCUAAUGACAUGCAUAAUUUUCUGGAUCUUAACAUGUAAGAUCUUGAUGUUGUUGUUCUGUCAUGUGAAUAUGCACAGAUCGGAGAGCUAAAGAAGCUCGUUGAAGAAGGUAAGAUAAAGUACAUCGGUUUAUCCGAGGCCUCUGCAUCAACAAUCAGAAGAGCACAUGCUGUUCAUCCCAUCACAGCAGUGCAAUUGGAGUGGUCGCUUUGGUCAAGAGAUGUGGAGGCAGAGAUCGUUCCAACGUGCAGGUAGGAUAUCACUCUGUUAAUUGUUUAUGCAGCAACAACAGCUUCCUUCUGACUCUGCUUUUCCUUUAAAAUGCUGACUAGGGAGCUUGGCAUUGGAAUUGUUGCCUACAGUCCUUUAGGACGAGGAUUCUUUUCUGUUGGCUCCAAGUUGGUGGAGAAUAUCUCUAAGGAUGACUUCAGACAGGUCUGUUCCUGCUUGUCAACAUAAUUAGAUGUUUACAUUGACUGUCAUUCUUAUUGAAGUGCUGGAAACCUGUUCUUGUGGUAUAAAGAAAAAGUAUCUGGAUGGGAUGAAUAAAACUUGGUGACACGAAUGCUUCGUGUUCUUAUAUGUCUUUAAUCCAGCACUUGCCAGACAUCCCACCUCUCUUGAUUCUAGAUAAAUGUAAAAUCACAAGUAACGGCUUUAAUGAGCCUGAAAGAGGCAGUUUCCUGGAUUCUCGUGCUUUUGGGAAUGAAUACAUAUAGGUUUAUAUGUAAGUUGCUCUGUUUCCCAGCCUUCCCAACAUUUGCUUAUCACUAUCCUUUCCCCACUUUCCACCCACCCUUUUUCUCUCAUCUUUCUUCACAAGAAUAGCGAUAUUUCCUCGAAAUAACUGACGCCAGUAUCGGGCUUUGGCCCUCCGUCCUUUUUCAUUCUCAUCUUUCUUCACAAGAUAAACUAUAUCUUGACACAACCAUUUCUUGAGCGCGGACUCCCGACACCCUUCUUAUGAGAGUUUUGGAUCAAGUUCCCAUCUGACAUAAAGCCAAUUGUGUAUUACUCCCCGCCAUUAGCGUUUGACUAGCGAUAGUGCUGGGCAAGUGAAGUAGCUAUUUUUCUUUGUAGCUAAAAGAGCUCUGCGUCUGAUAACAUUCUUCUACUCAUCAUCUACAUUUCUGAUUUUUUAUUUUAUGUGACUAAUGGUAUCAUCACACGUACAAAACUUAGAUUGUCGAGUUUGUUUCUGUUUUCACAUCCUACAUCAAGCCCAUCAGCCUUGUGUGGUAGUUGCUAGAUCACUUCGCUUGACGUUUCUAAUGCUUAUGAUUUGGGACAUGAUAUUUUAAUCAUUUCAAGAUAAUUUAUAACUGAUCAUGCUUUUUCAGAUACACAACGAUUGCACACUUCUAAAUGCUUAUUAUGUCAAGUAACAAGACAAUCCGAUGGCAUGCAAUGCAACCACUUUUGCACUUGUUGCUGUAGAAUUUAGCCUUAAGAGGAAAAUGAUAAUUUCUCAUAUGCUCUCUGCUGAGACAUUGCUCUAUGUUAUGCAGUAUCUACCAAGGUUCCGGCCAGAGAACUUGGCUCACAACACGAAGUUAUUUGACCGAGUGAAUGAAAUUGCGCAAAGAAAGGGAUGCACCACAUCGCAGUUAGCCCUGGCCUGGGUACACCACCAGGGUGACGACAUUUGCCCGAUUCCCGGCACAACCAAGAUCGAGAAUUUCAACCAGAACAUUGGAGCUCUGUCAGUGAAGCUUACACCGGAAGAGAUGGCCGAGCUUGAAUCGAUUGCUUCUGCGGACAAUGUCAAGGGUGGCAGGUACGAUGGAAGCAUGUCUACAUGGGAAAACUCCGACACUCCACCCCUUUCUUCUUGGAAACCUGCCUAGAAGCGUGUCUGCUUCUGUUGCUGCAUCUUUGAUGUGCAGAGGUUGAGCAUUUGCCGCUGAAGUAAUUUGAGUUUAUGUUGUGUGGCUGUUAUAAGUAUGUGUAAUAAGAGAGUGACUGUUUUCAUUUUGUACAUGUGACAUUCACUAUGAUAAGAUUAUGGAUGUGUACUAACCUUACUGGGGAAAGAUCACUCGAUAAACACGAGAGCGAGUUGAAUACGAACUGAGCCUGCCGUGUCGACUUUAUUGGGGUGACUUUUAGAAUCUGAGAAAUCGGGAUUUUGAAGAAUUCAAACUCAGUCGUACAUACUAGAGUGGUAUUCUCCACCAACCAUGAGUUCAAUCUCUUAAGACUGGAUGCUGCACAUAGAUGCAAAGCUUCGCUUUGUGUUUG